rnacentral:rRNA from 1 species
AGAGUUUCGAGUCCUGGCUCAGAGCGAACGCUGGCGGCAGGCUUAACACAUGCAAGUCGAGCGGGCGUAGCAAUACGUCAGCGGCAGACGGGUGAGUAACACGUGGAACGUACCUUUUGGUUCGGAACAACUGAGGGAAACUUCAGCUAAUACCGGAUAAGCCCUAACGGGGAAAGAUUUAUCGCCGAAAGAUCGGCCCGCGUCUGAUUAGCUAGUUGGUGAGGUAAUGGGCUCACCAAGGCGACGAUCAGUAGCUGGUCUGAGGGGAUGAUCAGCCACACUGGGACUGAGACACGGCCCAGACUCCUACGGGAGGCAGCAGUGGGGAAUAUUGGACAAUGGGGGCAACCCUGAUCCAGCCAUGCCGCGUGAGUGAUGAAGGCCCUAGGGUUGUAAAGCUCUUUUGUGCGGGAAGAUAAUGACGGUACCGCAAGAAUAAGCCCCGGCUAACUUCGUG